UGAUCUACACUCAGCCUGCCGGUGACCCAA
rnacentral:sRNA from 1 species